UACGAGGGGGGCAAGCGUUGUUCGGAAUUAUUGGGCGUAAAGGGUGCGUAGGCGGUGCGGUAAGUCUGUUGUGAAAUCUCCGGGCUCAACUCGGAGUCUGCAUCAGAAACUGCCGUGCUGGAGUGUGGGAGAGGUGAGUGGAAUUCCCGGUGUAGCGGUGAAAUGCGUAGAGAUCGGGAGGAACACCAGUGGCGAAGGCGGCUACCUGGACCAGCACUGACACUGAAGCACGAAAGCGUGGGGAGCAAACAGG
rnacentral:rRNA from 1 species